UGGGGAAUAUUGCACAAUGGAGGGAACUCUGAUGCAGCGACGCCGCGUGAGUGAUGAAGGAAUUCGUUUCGUAAAACUCUGUUCUAUGGGAAGAAAAGGACUGUACCAUAGGAGAAAGCUCCGGCUAAAUACGUGCCAGCAGCCGCGGUAAUACGUAUGGAGCGAGCGUUGUCCGGAAUUAUUGGGCGUAAAGGGUGCGCAGGCGGCUUUACAAGUUGGAUGUGAAAUAUUGUGGCUCAACCACAAACGUGCAUCCAAAACUGCAAAGCUUGAGUUAAGGAGAGGUAAGUGGAAUUCCGGGUGUAGCGGUGGAAUACGUAGAUAUCAGGAGGAAUACCGGUGGCGAAGGCGACUUACUGGACUUAAACUGACGCUCAGGCACGAAAGCGUGGGGAGCAAACAGG
rnacentral:rRNA from 1 species